ensembl:lncRNA
CACGCAGGCUCUACAUAGAGGGGUACAGGCCCCACACAGGCCCUAUAUAGGGGUACAGGUCCCACGCAGGCUCUACAUAGAGGGGUACAGGCCCCACACAGGCCCUAUAUGGGGUACAGGUCCCACGCAGGCUCUAUAGACAGGUACAGGUCCCAUGCAGGGGAUACGGGCCCCGUGAGGAGAGUACCGGGUCCACUCAGGCCUUGUACGGACCCCACGCAGGUUUACAGGCCCUACACAGAAACACAGACCCCGCGGAGGCCCCACACAGGGGUACAGACCAUGCACGAGGCCACCGAACCCACGCACGGAGCACAACUCCUUCGACACCCCACCCGCUCGCC